rnacentral:lncRNA from 10 species
GACCCAGCUACUCGGGAGGCUGAGGCAGGAGAAUCACUGGAACCCAGGAGGUGGAGGUUGCCAUUAGCUGAGAUUGCACCACUGCACUCCAGCCUGGACUACAGAGUGAGACUUCACCUUUAAAAAAAAUAAUUAAAAAAAAAAAGUUUAAAUGAGGUCAUUAGGGUGGGCCCUAAUCCAAUAUGACUGAUGUCCUUAGAAGAAGAGAUUGGGACAUAGACACACACAGAGGAGGCCACGUGAGGACCGAGGGAGAAGGUGCCCCCACCUCAGAAGAAACCAACCCUGCCGACACUGUGAUCUUGGACUUCCAGCCUCCAGAACUGAGAAAAUAAAUGUGUGCUGUUUAAGCCUCCUAGUCUGUGAUAUUUUGUUGUGAAAAUGUGAGAAAAAGUAACUAAUGUUAAGCUGGGUUUGCUCAAUUCUGCUUUCCAGCGUAAUUUCACAAAGCCCCUGACUCUGAGACACGUGAGACACGUCUGCGCAGCUCUACAGAACAAGGCUUUGAAGACAAAACAGGACAGAGCACAGGGCACACCAUGUCCCUUGCCCGAGUCACUAUAUUCCUUAAAUGAGUCUGGGCACGGUGGUUCAUGCCUGUGAUCCCAGCAUUUUG